rnacentral:rRNA from 1 species
CCUAGGGAGGCAGAAGUGGGGAAGAGUGCACAAGGGGGGAAAACCGGAGGCAGCGACGGCGCGUGAGUGAAGAAGGAUUUCGGGAGGUAAAGAGCUAUCAGCAGGGAAGAAAAGGACGGUACCUGAUGAAGAAGCGCCGGUGAACUACGUGCCAGCAGCCGCGGUAAUACGUAGGGGGCAAGCGUUAACCGGAUUUACUGGGGGUAAAGGGAGCGUAGACGGCAGGACAAGUCUGGAGGGAAAUGCCGGGGCUUAACCCCGGAACUGCGUUGGAAACUGUGCAGCUAGAGUGCAGGAGAGGUAAGUGGAAUUCCUAGUGUAGCGGUGACAUGCGUAGAUAUUAGGCGGAACACCAGUGGCGAAGGCGGCUUACUGGACUGUAACUGACGUUGAGGCUCGAAAGCGUGGGUAGCAAACAGGAUUAGAUACCCCUGUAGUC